rnacentral:rRNA from 1 species
CAUCGGAAACUGGGAAACUUGAGUGCAGAAGAGGACAGUGGAACUCCAUGUGUAGCGGUGAAAUGCGUAGAUAUAUGGAAGAACACCAGUGGCGAAGGCGGCUGUCUGGUCUGUAACUGACGCUGAGGCUCGAAAGCAUGGGUAGCGAACAGGAUUAGAUACCCUGGUAGUGCAUGCCGUAAACGAUGAAUGCUAGGUGUUGGAGGGUUUCCGCCCUUCAGUGCCGCAGCUAACGCAUUAAGCAUUCCGCCUGGGGAGUACGACCGCAAGGUUGAAACUCAAAGGAAUUGACGGGGGCCCGCACAAGCGGUGGAGCAUGUGGUUUAAUUCGAAGCAACGCGAAGAACCUUACCAGGUCUUGACAUCUUUUGAUCACCUGAGAGAUCAGGUUUCCCCUUCGGGGGCAAAAUGACAGGUGGUGCAUGGUUGUCGUCAGCUCGUGUCGUGAGAUGUUGGGUUAAGUCCCGCAACGAGCGCAACCCUUAUGACUAGUUGCCAGCAUUUAGUUGGGCACUCUAGUAAGACUGCCGGUGACAAACCGGAGGAAGGUGGGGAUGACGUCAAAUCAUCAUGCCCCUUAUGACCUGGGCUACACACGUGCUACAAUGGAUGGUACAACGAGUUGCGAGACCGCGAGGUCAAGCUAAUCUCUUAAAGCCAUUCUCAGUUCGGACUGUAGGCUGCAACUCGCCUACACGAAGUCGGAAUCGCUAGUAAUCGCGGAUCAGCACGCCGCGGUGAAUACGUUCCCGGGCCUUGUACACACCGCCCGUCACACCAUGAGAGUUUGUAACACCCGAAGCCGGU